GAUGAACGCUAGCGACAGGCCUAACACAUGCAAGUCGAGGGGUAGCAUGAAGUAGCAAUACUUUGAUGACGACCGGCGCACGGGUGAGUAACACGUAUGCAACCUACCUUCUACAGGGGAAUAGCCCGGAGAAAUCCGGAUUAAUACCCCAUAACGCAGGGCUACCGCAUGGUAAUAUUUGCUAAAGAUUAAUCGGUAGAAGAUGGGCAUGCGUUCAAUUAGCCAGUUGGUGAGGUAACGGCUCACCAAAGCCACGAUGGAUAGGGGAACUGAGAGAUUUAUGCCCCACACAGGAACUGAGACACGGUCCAUACUCCUACAGGAGGGAGCAGUGAGGAAUAUUGGUCAAUGGACGAGAGUCUGAACCAGCCAAGUCGCGUGAAGGAUGACUGCCCUACGGGUUGUAAACUUCUUUUGUAUGGGAGUAAAAAGAGCUACGUGUAGCUUAUUGCAAGUACCAUACGAAUAAGCAUCGGCUAACUCCGUGCCAGCCGCCGCGGUAAGAC
rnacentral:rRNA from 1 species